ensembl:snoRNA
CCCCUUCGGAUUCCUUGACCCUCAGAUAUAAAUAUUGGUCUGAGUGGCUGAAAAAGAAGGAAAAGUAAAACUGAAGUGGACUUGGAGUCUUUAAUAACUUACAAGUUCAUUUCAAACAUAG